AGAUGCUCAUUCCACCUCUUAUGUUUGCUUCGGCUACAUAAACCUGGGAAUGACGCAGAGCCAAUUUUGGGUACCUGUUGUCUGCCUGCCUGUAUCGCGAAAGUCUUACAGGGUUAUCAGACACCACGUUGAGUCGGGUACCUCUCG
rnacentral:sRNA from 1 species